UUCCUCUUGUUAAAAGGAGGUAAGGCCUGCUCACUGAAAUUUAAAGAGCCGCAGUAUUCUGACUGUGCUAAGGUAGCAUAAUCAUUAGUCUCUUAAUUGGAGACUGGUAUGAAUGGUUAAACGAGAAAUCAACUUUUUUUGCUAUAAAGAUUGAAUUUAAUUUUUUAGUGAAAAAGCUAAAAUUUUUCAGAAAGACGAGAAGACCCUAUAGAGUUUUAUAUCACGAAUAAUUUUCUUUUAGUAGGUUUUUUUGGAUAAAAUUUUUUUGUGAUAUUUUGUUGGGGCGACAUUAAGAUAAGAAAAACUCUUUAUUUUGAAAACUUUACUAAAAGAAUUAACUGAUCCUUUAGAAGAGAUCAUAAGAAAAAAUUACCUUAGGGAUAACAGCGUAAUCUUUUUUGAGAGUUCUAAUCGACAAAAAGGUUUGCGACCUCGAUGUUGGACUAAAAUUCAGGCAGGGUGCAGUAGUUCUGUCUUUAGGUCUGUUCGACCUAUAAUAUUUUACGUGAUCUGAGGUUUCAGACCG
rnacentral:rRNA from 1 species